GCCUACGGGGGGCAGCAGUGAGGAAUAUUGGUCAAUGGGCUUACGCCUGAACCAGCCAAGUCGCGUGAGGGAAGACUGCCCUAUGGGUUGUAAACCUCUUUUGUCAGGGAGCAACGCCGGCUACGUGUAGCCGGACUGAGAGUACCUGAAGAAAAAGCAUCGGCUAACUCCGUGCCAGCAGCCGCGGUAAUACGGAGGAUGCGAGCGUUAUCCGGAUUUAUUGGGUUUAAAGGGUGCGCAGGCGGGAGAUCAAGUCAGCGGUAAAAUGUCGGGGCUCAACCCCGGCCGGCCGUUGAAACUGGGUU
rnacentral:rRNA from 1 species